rnacentral:antisense_RNA from 1 species
CUUCACCGAACCGAGCCACAACGGCGUCUCCCGGUCCCGACCGUAGGUCGCCAGCAGCGCCUGCGCCUC